AGACCCAGGAGGAAGCGAAGGAACAAGUUGAGGUGUCCGUUUGGACUCUGUAAGGCCUGGUGCACAGCACUCUGGUAGAGAUGUGUUGGUUUGGGUCUGAACACUUCAGACUGCUGGGAGGUUGUUGGUUCUUCUGCCAGCAGGUUGACUCCAGAGUUGAUGAAGGUCAGAUGGACAUGAAGAGCAGCCA